UUAUUGUUGCAAGGGGAUUUGUUUUGCUGCCUUGCUUUCAUAUGCUUUGGGUUGUUUUCAUUAGGUGUUUUUACUUUUUGAAGGCUCUACAACUUUAAUGUUAUAUGCUGUUAUCACAGUAUUAUGUUGUUGUUAUUGGUGAUUACAUGUGAUGUCGAAUGCUUUCUUUGUAUCGUGCAGGAAGGUUGGGGUGUUGUCCCAAAGGUUGCACCAUAAGGUUGCUGUUUUGAAAUUGAAAAAAAAGGGGUAUUAACUGGCUUAGUUAAAUUGUAAUCUGUGUUGCUGUUGGGUUUGGUGAUUGAUGGAGCUUGAUAUGAAGAAGUUUCUUCAUUCACUCUCUCUCUCUCUCUCUCUGGGUUAAUUAUUUAUCAUUCACAAUUGUUUAUUGUUCUGAGUUUCAUGGUUGCAAUUGCAAGAAAUAGCCAUUUUAUUGAGAUCUUACAAGGCACUAGAUUUAUCUUAAUUGUGCCAUGCAUUAUAUUCAAUAUUGUUUGCUUGCAAUAUAUUUCCUAAGUCGACUCACGAAAUAUUUGCAUCAAAGCUUUAUCAGGAAAAGGGUAGUCUUCAACUAUCUUUUUAACAAAUAAUUAUAACUUCUUGAUUUAGUUUGUAGUAUUCUUCAAUUUCGUCUCAAAAUAUAAUUCACCAUUCAGUUUUGCUUUCUUUAUUGGAUGAGUAUUGUUAAGUAGCAAGUCUGAGGGAUAUUUAGUCUUAUAUUGGAUGAAAUAAGGUAUAAGAGUUUAUGGGAUGAGAUAUUCAUGUAUUUAGUGCCUUAAGAUUUUUAAGUUGGUGUGGUACAUUCUCUCACUUGGUUCCUAUACAACUAUACAAGUGACUAACUAUUUUUUUUUUUAAUUGUAAUAUGAGUGCUAAAAUAUCACUCUUUUAUGUAUUUUUAUUUUUUUUAUACAAAUAAUAAAUGUACUGUUUUGCUUCUCUCAUAUAAUCUCUGUCAUGAGAUGGAUAUAUUUUUUUAAUUCGCUUUAAUUUAAACCUUUCCCUGUGGACAUAGGAAAACAAUUUUGUGACAUUGAUUAUUGGAGUAAACUCUGUUCUUCUUGCUUUUGAUCUAUACUUAUUUAGACACGGAACAAGUAUCAUUGCACCAAAACAAGUUUCAAUACUUUUAAAUUAAACUCCAAGAAGAUUGUGCAAUUUAAUGAUUUGAGAAUGAACUGAAAAAUGAAGGUGCAAGUUUGAUCAGCAAGGGCAUUGGAAGAGGCUCAUGGCCAAUUACUUGAAGUUGCUCACAGAUUCAAUUACUAGGUCCAGAACCCCAACGUUUCAAAUUACGGGUGAAGGUUCAUUUUGAGCUGUGGAAUUUAAGUCAACAGCAGAGAAAUAUCAAUAUAGUCAUAAUGUUCAACACAACGCGAUCCUCGUAAGAGCACUCUGCACGGAGGUGCAAUCAGAUGAUGCUGUAAGAGUGUGUCUCAAAAUCUGGAAAGUCAUGGACAUUGAUUCCAAUAAAUGGAACCGGAACAUCUGUCAAUUUCUUUCCGGAAUCAAAAUCUCACUAUCAACAACAGUGGGGUUACUCCACUUGGCUAAAAUCAGAAAUAAUGAAUCAGACAUUAACAGGUCUGGAAGUUGGAGAUCAAGCUCUUUCCUGUCUUGAUUUAAUAACUCUCUCCGUCUUUUUGGAUCCUCAUAUGACUUAUCGUCUUGCUCGUUAUCCUGUUCGUUGGAAGAGGA